GCUGGUUCCGCCUGCCGCCGGUCGCGAGCCGACGAGCCAACGGAGCAUGCACUCGCGGUGGCGUCUGCUCUCGCUCAUGUGCAACGCUCGCCUUGCCCCGGCGGGUCGUCUCGCCGCCGCGCCGUCUUCGAGGAGCUUCGGCCUGCCCCCCGCGGCCGCCGGCGGGGCCUCCACCUCAGGUUCCAGUGAUGGUCACUUAGUUGUAAGGGCUCAACCUAUGCCGCUUAUACUGAUUGGGCAAGCAGGAUGAUUAGGUUGAUUCAGCACCUACAAGUGAGCAUGCUGAUACAAAUGUUACUGGCCUACGUCGUAUAGAAGAUGGUUCGGUGAUCUCAAAUGAACACACGUUUCCUCAUUGAACCAUGUAGAUUUGGAAGGUUUAGCCUGUCAUUAAACUAUGUGUUGUUUCAUGUUGAUAUACGGAAACUGGGUGGUAAUUUGCCAGGAUAUUUUCUAUUGCUAUUUUUGAAAGCUUGGGUUUAGCAACUUCUCUCGUUGCAAGUACAUAUUCCAAGGCCUUGCUUCAGUUACAAAAUCAUGCAACUAUUGAACCUUUCAAUUAAGUAUGACUGUUCAGACCAUAUACCCUGUGCGUUACAAGUUUUAAGCAUCUUAGUGUUGGUUGGAGUAUGACUAUAUGAUAGGAGGAAAGGAGGCGUGUAUCUUUAGUUACUCCUACUCGAUUCGAAGUUUAACUUACGGUUGUUGUUAGUCUAUUAUAUCCAUUUAUACGCAUUUUCUAGGGAAAACUAGAUGAAGCUGAGAAGUUAUUCAAGGCAGCCCUACAAGAAGCUAAACAAGUAUUUGGACUGAGAUCCACAUGCUGCAUUGGCUCUGAACAACUUGCUGGCUAUACAGCCAUAGACUCAAGGUGUUGUAGAUUCUCUUAGGGAUGCUAAAGUGCACACAGAUUCCUUUGUCAUGAAAGCUGUUUCGACCUGCCACUCUUGCAUUAUGCUGGUUCAGAGAGGACAUGACCAGAUAUGCCGAUGGGAUGACUUCCUGCUGCAUUGGACCAGGCUGACCGUUCGUCCACCUGCCUGACAUUCAUGCUGUCGUUGUGAUCGAGAAGCCAACUCCGACGGUGCGCAUUCGAGUCGUCGCUCCGCUGGCCCUGAUGCCCACUAUUUAACGACCGUCGGCCACACCACAAACCCUACCACCUCCAAGCCUCGUCGCCCUUCGUUCGAGCGACUGUGCUUGCCAGUGAUGAUCAUGUCAUUGACAUAUAGAUGAGUUUGACCACAAGCUGAAAGGUGUCCAUAAAAUGGAAGACCAUAAGCACUCACGACCACCCACAAUCACCACUAAAACGAAAUGCUCAAACCAGAAUACCCGGAUGAGCAAGAUCAUGCCAUCAGGACCAGAAACGGGUGGUGGCUACAUGUAGGUCUCUGCGUGCAACUCACCAUUAAGCAUUUUUGACAUCAAGCUAAGAAGAAUGAGAAAUGUCAAAUAGUGGUCAUGUAGGCCACAUGAGCAAAUUUCUCAUCAUGGUCAUCACCAUAUUCCAACAAAAACCCGCGGGACACACGACAAACUUUGUAACGCUCAAGAGAACCAUUAGUCUUAACCUUGUGGACCACUUACAAGUGAUGGGACGACCACACUGGGGAAGGGAAAUGAGACCCCACGUGCAUGUGCGCUCACGAGCAUCAAUCUCUUCUGCCAUCGCAUGUUGUCGUUUGGGAUGAACAACACGGCCACGAUUAGAAGUCGUCUUGAGAAGGACGCCUCCUGCAUAACUAUAGCGGUCAAUAGGCGGAAGUGGGCGAGUGCGGAAGCCAUAAGUAGGUUGAGCUUGAGGCUGUGAGUUGCCAACAAAAGGGCAUGGUAGUGAGGGAGUUGUGCAUUAGAAGAAUCCACAUCACGUACACAACCAAUGUGGUAAAGAGGACGAGGGGGAAUCACUAGAGAAGCCUCGGGGAACGAGCGAGGUGAAGUGGCCUCAGGUAACUGAUGAGGUGGUGAAGUCGCAUGUGUUGAUGGUAUGAAUCUACAACAAUAGUACGGGAAGACACGAUGGGAUGCAUGGACGAGGACAAUACAUGAGUGAUAUGUUUAUCAGGAAAGGUGAGGAAAGAAAUAUCCUCAAUGGGGGAGACAGAAGGAGAGGAUGGAUGUGGAUAGAAAGGAUGAGACUCAUCAAAAGACACACCCCGAGAAAGGUGCAUCCGACUACCGACAUGAUCCUAACACCGAUGGCCCUUCUGCUCUUCACUGUAACCUAAGAUGACACAUUGAGCAGACUGAGCGGUCAGUUUGAUGCGUUCAUGUGGGACAAGAACAUACAAACAAAAGUAAACAAACGAAACAUCGAGUAGUCACGAGUACUACCAAAAAAAUGCUUGGUUGUAAUGUCACCCCGCGGAGGAAGGCCGAUUGUUGGUGAGAUAAGUGGAACUAGUAACAACCUCAACCCAAAAGUGAGGCGAAAGAGAGGAGAUGAUCAUCAACGCACAAGCUGCCUCAAGAAAGUGAGGAUGCUUACGCUCAUCAUCAAUAUUCUAAGCAUGAGCAUCA